rnacentral:rRNA from 1 species
GGAAUAUUGGACAAUGGGCGAAAGCCUGAUCCAGCCAUGCCGCGUGUGUGAAGAAGGUCUUCGGAUUGUAAAGCACUUUAAGUUGGGAGGAAGGGCAGGAAGCGAAUACCUUGCUGUUUUGACGUUACCGACCGAAUAAGCACCGGCUACCUCUGUUCCAGCAGCCGCGGUAAUACAGAGGGUGCAAGCGUUAAGCGGAAUUACUGGGCGUAAAGCGCGCGUAGGUGGUUGGUUAAGUUGGAUGUGAAAGCCCCGGGCUCAACCUGGGAACUGCAUCCAAAACUGGCCGACUAGAGUACAGUAGAGAGUGGUGGAAUUUCCUGUGUAGCGGUGAAAUGCGUAGAGAUCGGGAGGAACAUCUGUGGCGAAGGCGGCCACCUGGACCAGCACUGACACUGAGGCACGAAAGCGUGGGGAGCAAAC